UACGGAGGAAGCUAGCGUUGUUCGGAAUUACUGGGCGUAAAGCGCACGUAGGCGGCUUUGCAAGUUAGAGGUGAAAGCCCGGGGCUCAACUCCGGAAUUGCCUUUAAAACUGCAUCGCUAGAGUUGUGGAGAGGUAAGUGGAAUUCCGAGUGUAGAGGUGAAAUUCGUAGAUAUUCGGAAGAACACCAGUGGCGAAGGCGACUUACUGGACACAUACUGACGCUGAGGUGCGAAAGCGUGGGGAGCAAACAGG
rnacentral:rRNA from 1 species